GGUCAAGUUAUUAAGGGCUUACGGUGGAUGCCUUGGGACCAAGGGCCGAUGAAGGGCGCGGCAAGGCUGCGUUAAGCCUCGAUGAGCCGUCUAGCAGGCAUAGUCGGGGAUACCCGAAUGGGGUAACCUAAUCCGGUGUUGAGUCGGAUUAUCCCGGUUUUGUAUCGGGAAGGUAAGCGGGGGAACUGAAACAUCUAAGUACCCCGAGGAAAAGAAAUCAACCGAGAUUCCCCUAGUAGUGGCGAACGAACGGGGAAUAGCCUAAACCAGUACGACUUAGUGGAGUGAGGUCCUAUGUCGUAUCGGGGUUGUAGGGCGCGUUUUAGGUCGCCUCGCCAGACCUGAAGGAGUUACAAAUCUUGUCUCUAGUCGAAGGCACCUGGGAAGGACCGUCAUAGAGGGUGAAAGCCCCGUAGACGAAAGGGACAAGACUCCUAGCGCAUACCCUGAGUACCACGGGGCACGGGAAACCUUGUGGGAAUCUGGGGGGACCACCCUCCAAGGCUAAAUACCCUUGGUCACCGAUAGCGUACCAGUACCGUGAGGGAAAGGUGAAAAGAACCCCUAGCGGGGAGUGAAAUAGAUCUGAAACCGUAAGCCUACAGAAG
rnacentral:rRNA from 1 species